rnacentral:rRNA from 1 species
GACGAACGCUGGCGGCGUGCUUAACACAUGCAAGUCGAACGGAAAGGCCCUGCUUUUGUGGGGUGCUCGAGUGGCGAACGGGUGAGUAACACGUGAGUAACCUGCCCUUGACUUUGGGAUAACUUCAGGAAACUGGGGCUAAUACCGGAUAGGAGCUCCUGCUGCAUGGUGGGGGUUGGAAAGUUUCGGCGGUUGGGGAUGGACUCGCGGCUUAUCAGCUUGUUGGUGGGGUAGUGGCUUACCAAGGCUUUGACGGGUAGCCGGCCUGAGAGGGUGACCGGCCACAUUGGGACUGAGGUACGGCCCCGGAUCCUACGGGAGGCAACAGUGGGGAAUAUUGGCCCAUGGGCGGAAGCCUUAUGCCGCCACGCCGCGUGCGGGAUGACGGCCUUCGGGUUUUAAACCGCUUUCGCCUGUGACGAAGCGUGAGUGACGGUAAUGGGUAAAGAAGCACCGGCUAACUACGUG